rnacentral:rRNA from 1 species
GAUGAACGCUGGCGGCGUGCCUAAUACAUGCAAGUCGAGCGGAAAGGCGAGGAGCUUGCUCCGCGGACGUUUGGGGCGGGCGGGUGAGUAACAUGUGUAUAACCCACCUAUAAUAGGGGGAAAACCUCGGGAAAGGGGAGCAUACACCGGAUAAGAUUUUGAAGCGCAUUGGUGAAUGGUGAAAGACGGUUUUUGUGGCACUUAUAGAGGGAUCCGCGCCGCAUUGGGUAGUUGGUGAGGUAACGGCUUACCAAGGGAACGAUGCGUGGGCGACCUCAGAGGGUGAUCGGCCACACUGGAACUGAGACACGGUCCAGACUCCUACGGGAGGCAGCAGUAGGGAAUCUUCCGCAAUGGGCGAAAGCCUGACGGAGCAACGCCGCGUGAGUGAUGAAGGUCUUCGGAUCGUAAAACUCUGUUAUUAGGGAAGAACAAAUGUGUAAGUAACUAUGCACGUCUUGACGGUACCUAAUCAGAAAGCCACGGCUAACUACGUG